UACGUAGGGGGCAAGCGUUAUCCGGAUUUACUGGUUGUAAAGGGAGCGUAGACGGUUAUGCAAGUCUGAAGUGAAAGCCCAAGGCUCAACCAUGGGACUGCUUUGGAAACUGUAAAACUGGAGUGCAGGAGAGGUAAGCGGAAUUCCUAGUGUAGCGGUGAAAUGCGUAGAUAUUAGGAGGAACACCAGUGGCGAAGGCGGCUUACUGGACUGUAACUGACGUUGAGGCUCGAAGGCGUGGGGAGCAAACAGG
rnacentral:rRNA from 1 species